GAAAUAUGAUGCUCGAUAAAAAGCUGCUAACUUUUUUUUUUAAUGGUUAAAUUCCAUUUAUAUUUCU
rnacentral:tRNA from 1 species